CUGUACGAGAUACUGGUUGUUUGCGAUACCCGCAAGUGACUGAGCGAUAGCAUUAAGUAACCCCUCUGGGGAGUACGUCCGCAACGAUGAAACUCAAAGGAAUUGACGGGGGCCCGCACAAGCGGAGGAACAUGUGGUUUAAUUCGAUGAUACCCGAGGAACCUUACCUGGGUUUAAAUGGGAAGUGACAGGCUUGUAAACAGGCCCUUCUUCGCACACUUUUCAGGGUGCUGCAUGGUUGUCGUCAGCUCGUGCCGAGAGGUGUCGGGCCUCGUCCCAUAAUGAGCGCAACCCCUAUCGAUAUCUACCACCUCGUCAUGGUGGGGACUCUAUCGAGACUGACGGUGUAAACCUCGAGGAAAGUGGGGAUGACCUCUAAUCAGCACGGCCCUUACAUCCAGGGCUACACCCGUGUUACAAUGGCCGGUACAAAGGGCAGCUACACAGCGAUGUGAUGCUAAACUCGAAAGCCGGACUCAGCUCGGAUCGAAGUCUGCAACCCGACUAUCCUGAAGCUGGAAUCGCUAGUAACCGCGCAUCAUCCAUGGCGCGGUGAAUACUUUCCCGGGCCUUGUACAUUCCGCCCGUCAAGCCAUGGAAGUCGGUGGUACCCUCAAAUAUGUAACCUCCAGGAGCGCCCUAGGGUAAAACUGGCGAAUUGGGGCUAAAUCCUUACUAGGUAACCAUUCACUAUUG
rnacentral:rRNA from 1 species